rnacentral:rRNA from 1 species
ACGCUGGCGGCGUGCCUAAUACAUGCAAGUAGAACGCUGAAGGAGGAGCUUGCUUCUCCGGAUGAGUUGCGAACGGGUGAGUAACGCGUAGGUAACCUGCCUGGUAGCGGGGGAUAACUAUUGGAAACGAUAGCUAAUACCGCAUAAGAGUAGAUGUCGCAUGACAUUUGCUUAAAAGGUGCCAUUGCAUCACUACCAGAUGGACCUGCGUUGUAUUAGCUAGUUGGUGGGGUAACGGCUCACCAAGGCGACGAUACAUAGCCGACCUGAGAGGGUGAUCGGCCACACUGGGACUGAGACACGGCCCAGACUCCUACGGGAGGCAGCAGUAGGGAAUCUUCGGCAAUGGACGGAAGUCUGACCGAGCAACGCCGCGUGAGUGAAGAAGGUUUUCGGAUCGUAAAGCUCUGUUGUAAGAGAAGAACGAGUGUGAGAGUGGAAAGUUCACACUGUGACGGUAUCUUACCAGAAAGGGACGGCUAACUACGUGCCAGCAGCCGCGGUAAUACGUAGGUCCCGAGCGUUGUCCGGAUUUAUUGGGCGUAAAGCGAGCGCAGGCGGUUAGAUAAGUCUGAAGUUAAAGGCUGUGGCUUAACCAUAGUACGCUUUGGAAACUGUUUAACUUGAGUGCAAGAGGGGAGAGUGGAAUUCCAUGUGUAGCGGUGAAAUGCGUAGAUAUAUGGAGGAACACCGGUGGCGAAAGCGGCUCUCUGGCUUGUAACUGACGCUGAGGCUCGAAAGCGUGGGGAGCAAACAGGAUUAGAUACCCCUGGUAGUCCACGCCGUAAACGAUGAGUGCUAGGUGUUAGACCCUUUCCGGGGUUUAGUGCCGCAGCUAACGCAUUAAGCACUCCGCCUGGGGAGUACGACCGCAAGGUUGAAACUCAAAGGAAUUGAC